UUACAGCACAUCUCAAUUUGUAUGAAUGAUAUUUACGUAUUGGACAGUGUGAGUCUAGAUAUAGGCCUGGAUCCAAAAUUAACUAAGUAUUCUAGGGGAAGAGAGGAAAAAUAGGAGUUUUGUUUUGGACACACUGAGUUUGGGGUACUGGUAGCAUCCCUGUGGACAGUGACAGUAAGCUUUUGGAAAUGCAGUUCUAGAGCAGUAAGACAGCAUCUUCCUUGGUUUUUGAAUCCGUACCUUAGAGUUUUCCCCCAGAUCCUAACUUGCACGUUAAACUGUGUAUGUUCUACUCCAGUCAGUUCAUCUCCAUGUUGGCUGAUUUUCUUGCACGUUUUCUCUGCCAAGCAAGUACAUAUCACAUACAUUUUUCUAUACAUUUAUAUCAUCUCUCCUUCAGGUACCCUGGAAAGGGUCGAGCAGAAGAAUGCGCACCGUUUUACUUCAUGAAGAACCAUUCUGUGAAUGAACUAUUAUUCAGCAUAAGCAAUUAGUCUAAAUAUAACUUGAGCAAAGAUUUGGAAAAGCUGAAAACAUUUUGUUAAUUCAACCUAAGCAUAGAAACCAAGAAAAUCUCAGUUACUCAGGGUUGUUGUCAGACAAUUGCUCAAAUGAACUACAAGGAAAUAUCUGUACAUUCCUGUGUAAUGAAGACAGGUUCUCCCAUCCUGAAAGAUUUCCACACCAUCCUUCCACCAAGAGGAACUCUUGAUGUAACUUGAAGAAGUUUGGAAAGCAUCCACAGUUUCUCCCAAGACUCCAUUCUCAGCUGCUAGGAAGAAAACACUCAACACAAAGAAACCUCAACUCCGGGUUGUAAGCAGAAAGCAAUGUCCAGUUGCCAAUUUCCAAGAGAUGAAUAGGUGAGAAGAAUCAUCAUGGUACCCAGAAUCAAACUUUCAGUCUUGAACAGAGUAAGUGGAAAUGCUUUAGAUGCUGCACUACA